CAAAGGUCUGGAAUACAGUGAGAGAUUUUUCUAGAUAGUCCACCUCUCAUUUUUCGAGUGCACUUAAACGCAUCACGGACGUACUCCAGCACGUCACUAGAUGGCGCUUUCGCGCGCUUUUGGCUCACACGUAGACGUCAGUAGCGCGAGCGAAUAAAACGACGCUGGCUUGAUGAAGACGUCGCCUCGUCGUACGUCUCUCCAUUACUCCGCAGCCCGAGCCCAGUCACACUAAAACCAUCUGAGCUCCCAGUGGCCAAUCCAACAGCUUUAAAGCUGUCAAGUAGGAAGUGGCUGCUGAUGCCGAGGUGUCGCUACCUGCCUGAGUGCUCCGCCGUGCCACAUCUGUCCAUCUGUCAAGCAGCUGAACGCAGUAAAAUCGUUGUAAAGGAAGGGCGAUUUCUCGGAGGUUAACAACAAGCUGGCCUUUAAAAUAUUUAAGGAGCAUUUGCGGUGGGUUGGUGUUUGGGAGGUUCCGCAGGCUGAAAUGCCCAGAAACAUGAACGCAGCACAAACAUGUCCUGCUUCCCUUCACUCGUCAGCUGUGAACAUCCGCCAGGAAGCCGCUGCGUAUCUCAUCGGACUUGGUAAAACAUGUCACGUAUGAAGGUAAUUACCGGGAGACGGGCUUGUUGCGUUAAUGGAUAAAUGACAUGCUUUGUGCAGCACUCGGUUCUGUUUGAGUAGAAAAGUGCAGCCCAUUUACCAACUAUCCAAAGACAAGUCCUGUAGUGACAAAAGGCCUCAUGUUUUGAUAAAUGAUCCCUAAAAAGAACAUCACAGCACAA